CCCCUAGAUGUUCUGGGCCGCACGCGCGCUACACUGAACAGUUCAACAAGUCUUAACCUUGGCCGAUAGGUCUGGGUAAUCUUUGAACGCUGUUCGUGAUUGGGAUAGACCUUUGCAAUUAUGGGUCUUCAACGAGGAAUUCCUAGUAAAAGCAAGUCAUCAGCUUGCAUUGAUUACGUCCCUGCCCUUUGUACACACCGCCCGUCGCACCUACCGAUUGAAUGGUCCGGUGAAAUCUCGGGACGGCGGCUUGGUCGCUUGCGUCCGACUGCUGAAACUUGAUUAAACCAUAUCAUUUAGAGGAAGGUGAAGUCGUAACA
rnacentral:rRNA from 1 species